UGCCAGCAGCCGCGGUAAUACGGAGGGUGCAAGCGUUAUCCGGAUUCACUGGGUUUAAAGGGUGCGUAGGUGGACAAGUAAGUCAGUGGUGAAAUCCCCGAGCUUAACUCGGGAACUGCCGUUGAUACUAUUUGUCUUGAAUAUCGUGGAGGUAAGCGGAAUAUGUCAUGUAACGGUGAAAUGCUUAGAGAUGACAUAGAACAUCAAUUGCGAAGGCAGCUUGCUACGCGGUAAUUGACACUGAGGCACGAAAACGUGGGGACCAAACAGGAUUAGAUACUCUGUACUACGACGCCCUAAACCAUGGAUACUCCUCACCCGAGAUACACCGUUGGUGACGGAGGGA
rnacentral:rRNA from 1 species